GAGGUAAUGGCUCACCAAGGCAUCGACGGGUAGCUGGUCUGAGAGGACGAUCAGCCACACUGGGACUGAGACACGGCCCAGACUCCUACGGGAGGCAGCAGUAGGGAAUCUUGCACAAUGGGCGAAAGCCUGAUGCAGCGACGCCGCGUGGGGGAUGAAGGCCUUCGGGUUGUAAACCCCUUUCAGUAGGGACGAAAAUGACGGUACCUACAGAAGAAGGUCCGGCCAACUACGUGCCAGCAGCCGCGGUAACACGUAGGGACCAAGCGUUGUCCGGAAUUAUUGGGCGUAAAGAGCUCGUAGGUGGUUCCGUAAGUCGGAUGUGAAAACUCAAGGCUCAACCUUGAGACGCCAUCCGAUACUGCGGUGACUUGAGUUCGGUAGAGGAGUGUGGAAUUCCUGGUGUAGCGGUGAAAUGCGCAGAUAUCAGGAGGAACACCGACAGCGAAGGCAGCACUCUGGGCCGAUACUGACACUGAGGAGCGAAAGCAUGGGGAGCAAACAGGAUUAGAUACCCUGGUAGUCCAUGCCGUAAACGUUGGGCACUAGGUG
rnacentral:rRNA from 1 species